GAUGAACGCUGGCGGCGUGCCUAAUACAUGCAAGUCGAGCGAACAGACGAGGAGCUUGCUCCUCUGACGUUAGCGGCGGACGGGUGAGUAACACGUGGAUAACCUACCUAUAAGACUGGGAUAACUUCGGGAAACCGGAGCUAAUACCGGAUAAUAUAUUGAACCGCAUGGUUCAAUAGUGAAAGACGGUUUUGCUGUCACUUAUAGAUGGAUCCGCGCCGCAUUAGCUAGUUGGUAAGGUAACGGCUUACCAAGGCAACGAUGCGUAGCCGACCUGAGAGGGGGAUCGGCCACACUGGAACUGAGACACGGUCCAGACUCCUACGGGAGGCAGCAGUAGGGAAUCUUCCGCAAUGGGAGAAAGCCUGACGGAGCAACGCCGCGUGAGUGAUGAAGGUCUUCGGAUCGUAAAACUCUGUUAUUAGGGAAGAACAAAUGUGUAAGUAACUAUGCACGUCUUGACGGUACCUAAUCAGAAAGCCACGGCUAACUACGUG
rnacentral:rRNA from 1 species